rnacentral:rRNA from 1 species
GACCUCAAAUCAGGUAGGACUACCCGCUGAACUUAAGCAUAUCAAUAAGCGGAGGAAAAGAAACUAACAAGGAUUCCCCUAGUAACUGCGAGUGAAGCGGGAAAAGCUCAAAUUUAAAAUCUGGCGGUCUCUGGCCGUCCGAGUUGUAAUCUAGAGAAGUGUUAUCCGCGCUGGACCGUGUACAAGUCUCCUGGAAUGGAGCGUCAUAGAGGGUGAGAAUCCCGUCUUUGACACGGACUGCCAGGGCUUUUGUGAUGCGCUCUCAAAGAGUCGAGUUGUUUGGGAAUGCAGCUCAAAAUGGGUGGUAAAUUCCAUCUAAAGCUAAAUAUUGGCGAGAGACCGAUAGCGAACAAGUACCGUGAGGGAAAGAUGAAAAGAACUUUGGAAAGAGAGUUAAACAGUACGUGAAAUUGCUGAAAGGGAAACGCUUAAAGUCAGUCGYGUUGGCCGGGGAUCAACCUUGCUUUUGCUGGGCGUACUUUCCGGUCGACGGGUCAGCAUCAAUUUUGACCGUUGGAUAAAGUCUAGGGGAAUGUAGCAUCUUCGGAUGUGUUAUAGCCCUUGGUCACAUACAACGAUUGGGAUUGAGGAACUCAGCACGCCGCAAGGCCGGGUACUUGUACCACGUUCG